rnacentral:rRNA from 1 species
UACGUAGGGUGCAAGCGUUGUCCGGAAUUAUUGGGCGUAAAGAGCUCGUAGGCGGUCUGUCACGUCGGCUGUGAAAACCCGAGGCUCAACCUCGGGCCUGCAGUCGAUACGGGCAAACUAGAGUGUUGCAGGGGGGACUGGAAUUCCUGGUGUAGCGGUGAAAUGCGCAGAUAUCAGGAGGAACACCGGUGGCGAAGGCGGGUCUCUGGGCAACAACUGACGCUGAGGAGCGAAAGCGUGGGGAGCGAACAGG